UACGAAGGGGGCUAGCGUUGUUCGGAAUUACUGGGCGUAAAGCGCACGUAGGCGGAAUGUUAAGUCAGGGGUGAAAUCCCGGGGCUCAACCCCGGAACUGCCUUUGAUACUGGCAUUCUCGAGUCCGGAAGAGGUGAGUGGAAUUCCGAGUGUAGAGGUGAAAUUCGUAGAUAUCGAGAGGAACGACCGGCGGCGAAGGCGGCCAACUGGACGAACACUGACGCUGAGACACGAAAGCGUGGGGAGCGAACAGG
rnacentral:rRNA from 1 species